rnacentral:rRNA from 1 species
CCUACGGGAGGUAGAGUGGGGAAUAUUGCGCAAUGGGGGAAACCCUGACGCAGCAACGCCGCGUGAGCGAUGAAGGCCUUCGGGUCGUAAAGCUCUGUCUUUUGGGACGAUAAUGACGGUACCAAAGGAGGAAGCCACGGCUAACUACGUGCCAGCAGCCGCGGUAAUACGUAGGUGGCGAGCGUUGUCCGGAAUUACUGGGCGUAAAGGGUGCGUAGGCGGAAGCUUAAGUCAGAUGUGAAAUCCCAAGGCUCAACCUUGGAGUGGCAUUUGAAACUGGGUUUCUUGAGUGCAGGAGAGGAAAGCGGAAUUCCUAGUGUAGCGGUGAAACGCGUAGAUAUUAGGAAGAACACCAGUGGCGAAGGCGGCUUUCUGGACUGUAACUGACGCUGAGGCACGAAAGCGUGGGGAGCAAACAGGAUUAGAUACCCUGGUAGUCCACGCUGUAAACGAUGAGUGCUAGGUGUGGGGGGUUUCGACACCCUCUGUGCCGCAGUAAACGCAAUAAGCACUCCGCCUGGGGAGUACGGUCGCAAGACUAAAACUCAAAGGAAUUGACGG